rnacentral:rRNA from 1 species
AUUGAACGCUGGCGGCAGGCCUAACACAUGCAAGUCGAGCGGUAACACAGGGAGCUUGCUCCCGGGUGACGAGCGGCGGACGGGUGAGUAAUGUCUGGGAAACUGCCUGAUGGAGGGGGAUAACUACUGGAAACGGUAGCUAAUACCGCAUAACGUCGCAAGACCAAAGAGGGGGACCUUCGGGCCUCUUGCCAUCAGAUUGGCCCAGAUGGGAUUAGCUAGUAGGUGGGGUAACGGCUCACCUAGGCGACGAUCCCUAGCUGGUCUGAGAGGAUGACCAGCCACGCUGGAACUGAGACACGGUCCAGACUCCUACGGGAGGCAGCAGUGGGGAAUAUUGCACAAUGGGCGCAAGCCUGAUGCAGCCAUGCCGCGUGUAUGAAGAAGGCCUUCGGGUUGUAAAGUACUUUCGGCGGGGAGGAAGGUGCUGAGGUUAAUAACCUCAGCAAUUGACGUUACCCGCAGAAGAAGCACCGGCUAACUCCGUGCCAGCCGCCGCCGUAA